AAUCAACGCUGGCGGCGUGCCUAACACAUGCAAGUCGAACGAGAAAGGGACUUCGGUCCUGAGUACAGUGGCGCACGGGUGAGUAACACGUGACUAACCUACCCUUGAGUGGGGAAUAACUUCGAGAAAUCGAGGCUAAUACCGCAUAACACCUACGGGUCAAAGGAGCAAUUCGCUUAAGGAGGGGGUCGCGGCAGAUUAGUUAGUUGGCGGGGUAAUGGCCCACCAAGACAGUGANCUGUAUCCGGCCUGAGAGGGCGCACGGACACACUGGAACUGAAACACGGUCCAGACUCCUACGGGAGGCAGCAGUGGGGAAUUUUGCGCAAUGGGGGAAACCCUGACGCAGCAACGCCGCGUGGAGGAUGAAGUCUCUUGGGACGUAAACUCCUUUCGACCGGGACGAUAAUGACGGUACCGGAAGAAGAAGCCCCGGCUAACUUCGUGCCAGCCGCCGCCGUAAC
rnacentral:rRNA from 1 species